rnacentral:rRNA from 1 species
AUUGAACGCUGGCGGCAUGCUUUACACAUGCAAGUCGAACGGCAGCACGGGGGCAACCCUGGUGGCGAGUGGCGAACGGGUGAGUAACACAUCGGAACGUGCCCAGUUGUGGGGGAUAACCUAUCGAAAGGUAGGCUAAUACCGCAUGAGCUCGGCAAGAGGAAAGCGGGGGACUCAGCGAUGGGCCUCGCGCGACUGGAGCGGCCGAUGUCCGAUUAGCUAGNGGUGGGGUAAAGGCUUACCAAGGCGACGAUCGGUAGCUGGUCUGAGAGGAUGAUCAGCCACACUGGGACUGAGACACGGCCCAGACUCCUACGGGAGGCAGCAGUGGGGAAUUUUGGACAAUGGGGGCAACCCUGAUCCAGCCAUGCCGCGUGAGUGACGAAGGCCUUAGGGUUGUAAAGCUCUUUUGGCGGGGAAGACAAUGACGGUACCCGCAGAAUAAGCCCGGCUAAC